GUGGGGAAUAUUGGACAAUGGGGGGAACCCUGAUCCAGCCAUGCCGCGUGUGUGAAGAAGGCCUUUUGGUUGUAAAGCACUUUAAGCGAGGAGGAGGCUACCGAGAUUAAUACUCUUGGAUAGUGGACGUUACUCGCAGAAUAAGCACCGGCUAACUCUGUGCCAGCAGCCGCGGUAAUACAGAGGGUGCACGCGUUAAUCGGAUUUACUGGGCGUAAAGCGCGCGUAGGUGGCCAAUUAAGUCAAAUGUGAAAUCCCCGAGCUUAACUUGGGAAUUGCAUUCGAUACUGGUUGGCUAGAGUAUGGGAGAGGAUGGUAGAAUUCCAGGUGUAGCGGUGAAAUGCGUAGAGAUCUGGAGGAAUACCGAUGGCGAAGGCAGCCAUCUGGCCUAAUACUGACACUGAGGUGCGAAAGCAUGGGGAGCAAACAGGAUUAGAAACCCUUGUAGUCC
rnacentral:rRNA from 1 species